CCUUCAGUGUUCUUUUGCCCCUCCCUUUAUUCCCUCUCUACCCUUCUCUUCCAUUUCUCCCUCUCUACUUAACUCUUGUUUUAGUUUUCUCCUUUGUUUCUCCACAGCACGAACUCUAUUUCUUCUUCCUUAGGAGGUCCUCUCAUCCUGUCUGGUCCCUUACUAGGUACCUAACCCCUGUGGUUAUUUGAAUUGUAGGACACAUAUCAAAGGCUUGAAUGAUAGCAUCCACGCGUAAGAGAAAACACAUGACAUUUGUUUUGGGGGCUCUGGGUCCCCUCACUCAGGAUUAUUUUUUUUUUCUAUCUCCAUUCAUUUGCUUGCAAAUGUCCUAAUCUUGCUUUCCUUAACAGCGGGAACAACACUCAACUGUGUAGACAUUCAUCCUUUUCACCAUGUAGUCAUCUGUUGAGCGAUGUCUUGGCCAGUUCCAAUUUCUGACUACUACAAACAGAGCAGCAACGAACACGGAUGGGCAAGUGUCUCUCGUUAAACCCCAAAGCUUAUCUACUAGGCUAGGCUGGCUGACUGAUGAGUUCCAGACAUCUGCCCAUCAGCCACCCCUGUCCCCAGCUGGGGUUACAAGCCACGCCUGGCUUUUGAUGUGGGUGUGGUUUUCUGAACUCCAUUCUUGCGCUUGCUUGGCAGGUACUCUGCCAGCUAAGCCAUCUCCCCUGCCCCUCGCUUUUAUUUUUAAACACAAGCAUCUAACCACAUGCAGAGUCUGGGGCUGGGCACUGAGGAAUGUGAAAUGAGACAAUGGAUUCUUUGUGAGUGAAUCAAGGAAGCUUCAUGACAGAGGUGAUGCUGGAGUCCACAUUGGAGGAGAAACAAGAAUCCAUUAUGAGGAGCCCAGAUCGUGGGGGAAAUUGCCUUCCACCACCCAUGUGUGGGUGACUCUGUGUAAACUGCUAGGUUGUUGACUCCCUAGGCCUUGCCUAGAAUUGGGCUACAGCCCAAUAACUUUAACCGACACUGGAAUGAUACUGAUGCAAUAGGAGGAACCCCCACUCUGAGAAUGGGCUCAGCAGCUUUUAUGAGAUGUCUCCAGUGAGGGUGACGUGGAAAUGAAGGGGGAAAAUUCCACAAAAAUGUGCAGAGCAUCAGAAAUAUGCUGGCAACGGUCGGAGAUGUGGCCAGGGCCUCUUGCCAGACAAGCAGGCAUGAGGCAGAAGCCAGAAAGGAGAGGAGAGCUGACUGCUGGUCAUGUGACCAGAAACGGGAGUCUCAGAAUCCCCCUCCCCUGACCAGUGGACCCCGUCAGACUGUCUCAGUCUGAUGGAGCUGCAUACACAGCCUUUUGAGGAAAACGGUCAAAGAUGGAUAGACAUUCCAUGUUCAUGAAUUGGAAGACUCAAGGCAGCGCUCCCUUCUCUGUACCUUCACAUCUCUAGCAAAAGUUCUAAUCAAACCUGGCUGGAGAGAUGGCUCAGCGGUUAAGAGCACUGACUGUUCUUCCAGAGGUCCUGAGUUCAAUUCCCAGCAAUCACAUGGUGUCUCACAACCAUCUGUAACGGGAUCCGAUGCCUUCUUCUGGUGUCUGAAGAUAUAGCUACAGUGUAUUCAUAUACAUAAUAAAG